rnacentral:rRNA from 1 species
UAGGGAAUAUUGCUCAAUGGGCGAAAGCCUGAAGCAGCAACGCCGCGUGGAGGAUGACACUUUUCGGAGCGUAAACUCCUUUUGUUGGGGAAGAAAUUUGACGGUACCCAACGAAUAAGCACCGGCUAACUCCGUGCCAGCAGCCGCGGUAAUACGGAGGGUGCAAGCGUUAAUCGGAAUAACUGGGCGUAAAGGGCAUGCAGGCGGUUUAUCAAGUAGGAUGUGAAAGCCCCGGGCUCAACCUGGGAAUUGCAUUCUAAAACUGAUAGACUAGAGUAUUGCAGGGGGAGACGGAAUUCCAGGUGUAGCGGUGGAAUGCGCAGAUAUCUGGAAGAACAC